GUUCCAAGUUUGACUCAAAUCUA
rnacentral:snRNA from 1 species